rnacentral:ncRNA from 1 species
GUUAUCAAGAGUGGACGAGAGAACGGCUCUUUGACUCCACAGCAACCUAUCGUAAGACAAGGUGCUAAAACCGACAAAGUAGUACUACUUUGACUGAUGA